AGUUCGAGUGUGGCUUCGGGAACUCUGAGACAGGUGCUGCAUGGCUGUCGUCAGCUCGUGUUGUGAAAUGUUGGGUUAAGUCCCGCAACGAGCGCAACCCUUAUCCUUGUUUGCCAGCACUUCGGGUGGGAACUCCAAGGAAACUGCCCGGGAUAAACCGGAAGAAGGGGGGGACGACCUCCAGUCAUCAUGGCCCUUACCAGUAGGGCUACCCACCUGCUACAAUGGCAUAUACAAAAGGCAUCCAGACCGCCAGGUGGAACCAAUCCCAAAAAGUAUGUCCUAAUCCGGAUUGGAAUCUGCAACUCCACUCCCUGAAAUCCGAAUCCCUAGUAAUCCUGGAUCAAAAUGCCCCGGUGAAUACAUUCCCCGGCCUUGUACACACCCCCCCUAA
rnacentral:rRNA from 1 species